rnacentral:rRNA from 1 species
CGCCAGACUCCUACGGGAGGCAGCAGUGGGGAAUAUUGCACAAUGGGGGAAACCCUGAUGCAGCGACGCCGCGUGAGCGAAGAAGUACCUCGGUAUGUAAAGCUCUAUCAGCAGGGAAGAAGAUGACGGUACCUGACCAAGAAGCUCCGGCUAAAUACGUGCCAGCAGCCGCGGUAAUACGUAGGGGGCAAGCGUUAUCCGGAUUUACUGGGUGUAAAGGGAGCGUAGACGGCUGCGCAAGUCAGAAGUGAAAGCCCGGGGCUCAACCGCGGGACUGCUUUUGAAACUGUGUAGCUAGAGUGCAGGAGGGGUAAGUGGAAUUCCUAGUGUAGCGGUGAAAUGCGUAGAUAUUAGGAGGAACACCGGUGGCGAAGGCGGCUUACUGGACUGUAACUGACGUUGAGGCUCGAAAGCGUGGGGAGCAAACAGGAUUAGAUACCCGAGUAC